rnacentral:rRNA from 1 species
UACGUAGGGUGCGAGCGUUGUCCGGAAUUAUUGGGCGUAAAGAGCUCGUAGGCGGUGUGUCACGUCGGCCGUGAAAACCUGCAGCUUAACUGUGGGCGUGCGGUCGAUACGGGCAUCACUGGAGUUCGGCAGGGGAGACUGGAAUUCCUGGUGUAGCGGUGAAAUGCGCAGAUAUCGGGAGGAACACCAGUGGCGAAGGCGAGUCUCUGGGAUGAUGCUGACGCUGAGGCGCGAAAGCCAGGGGAGCAAACGGG